UACAGAGGGUGCAAGCGUUAAUCGGAUUUACUGGGCGUAAAGGGCGCGUAGGUGGUUAUUUAAGUGAGAUGUGAAAUCCCCGGGCUUAACCUGGGAACUGCAUCUUAUACUGGGUAACUGGAGUGCAAUAGAGGGUAGUGGAAUUUCCGGUGUAGCGGUGAAAUGCGUAGAUAUCGGAAGGAACACCAGUGGCGAAGGCGGCUACCUGGAUUGACACUGACACUGAGGCGCGAGAGCGUGGGGAGCAAACAGG
rnacentral:rRNA from 1 species